UACGAACUGUGCAAACGUUAUUCGGAAUCACUGGGCUUAAAGGGUGCGUAGGCGGCCGCUCAAGUCAGGUGUGAAAUCCCCCGGCUCAACCGGGGAACAGCGCUUGAAACUAGGUGGCUCGAGUGAGGUAAGGGUACGCGGAACUUCUGGUGGAGCGGUGAAAUGUGUAGAUAUCAGAAGGAACGCCGGUGGCGAAAGCGGCGUACUGGGCCUUGUCUGACGCUGAGGCACGAAAGCUAGGGAAGUGAACGGG
rnacentral:rRNA from 1 species